rnacentral:tRNA from 4 species
GUGCCUGUAGCUCAGUUGGAUAGAGCGUCUGUCUACGAAACAGAAGGUCGCAGGUUCGAUUCCUGUCAGGCACG